CACUCCUACGGGAGGCAGCAGUGGGGAAUUUUGGACAAUGGGCGAAAGCCUGAUCCAGCAAUGCCGCGUGAGUGAAGAAGGCCUUCGGGUUGUAAAGCUCUUUUGUCAGGGAAGAAACGGUGAAAGCUAAUAUCUUUUGCUAAUGACGGUACCUGAAGAAUAAGCACCGGCUAACUACGUGCCAGCAGCCGCGGUAAUACGUAGGGUGCAAGCGUUAAUCGGAAUUACUGGGCGUAAAGCGUGCGCAGGCGGUUUUGUAAGUCUGAUGUGAAAUCCCCGGGCUCAACCUGGGAAUUGCAUUGGAGACUGCAAGGCUAGAAUCUGGCAGAGGGGGGUAGAAUUCCACGUGUAGCAGUGAAAUGCGUAGAUAUGUGGAGGAACACCGAUGGCGAAGGCAGCCCCCUGGGUCAAGAUUGACGCUCAUGCACGAAAGCGUGGGGAGCAAACAGGAUUAGAUACACCUGUAGUCCCAUG
rnacentral:rRNA from 1 species